rnacentral:lncRNA from 1 species
AUAAAAAAAAAAAGCAGCAGCAGUAUUACACUAGCAACAGUCUCAUUUGGCAAACUCUGCAUCUAUAAUUACAUCAAGCUGCAUCCUGUGACACACAUAUAUGAUAUAAACCUACGGAAGUAUGCUACAUGAGAAGCAUGCUUCCUUACGGAACUAAGACCUGAAGGCCAGAAAAUUAUGAAUCACAGGAACAGGAAGCAGAUCUGUCCCAGUGUGUUGAGGAUUGUGAUGUUAAGUGUUGCUACCCCCACUUUGUCCUGACCCAAUGCCCAUGAAUCGCAGCUACCCCAAAGGCAGAACUGAAUUUGAAAUCAUAAUUCAGAAUGUGAUUUUUGGAGAUCUUUGUUUGAGCGCUGUGAGUCACUCCCAAGAUCUUUAUUAUGCAAAGCGGCUUCAGGAAGAUGGGGAACAUGGGAAGACCAGGAAAUUCUGAAAGCACAGUUCUCCAGCCACAAUUCUUUUGCUUCGACAUAUGUUUCUGUAUCAGAAGCAACACCGUGGAAUAUGAAUGAUGGUAUUGUUAUGAUUUAAACAUCACCACAGGCUUAUGAUCAGAAUGCUUGUCUGGCCAACAGAUCAGUAAUAAAUGCAUAUAUACCUAUCUUUCCUACAAGUAAAAUGCACAUAAAAUACUUUUUGUAAAGUUCUGGUCUCUUGAUGGAUUCCAAUUCAAUACUAUGUGCUUCAGGAUUGUAGCAGGAGAACCUAAAGUGUUAUAGAUGACCACUUAUGAAUGGUACCAGCACAUCAUACAGAGCCAUCUGUAACAACACUCAAUUUCUUCGCCUCCAUCAGUUUAUCAUAGAGAACUUUCUAUGCUCCCAUAGGUAAUGUAGAAAAGAGAUCUGCAACCCUAUCGGUGGAACAACAUUAUGAACUAACCAGUACCCCAGAGC